rfam:Schistosoma haematobium scaffold6501_1, whole genome shotgun sequence.
AUCCAGCUGACGAGUCCUAAAUAGGACGAAACGCCCGUCCAAUUGAAU